CUAUAAUAAAAAUACAUAUCUGAUAUGACUUAAUAUAUAAUUAGCAUCAAACAAUAUAAUUCUUAUUCUCAAGGAUUAAAGAUUAAACGGGAAAAAAAUUAAAAUGAUUGCAAAACCAUCAAUUAGGUGGCGAUAUGCACUAAGCAUAAGGCCAACAUGACCUUUGAACAGAAGAAGAAGAAAGAAGCAGUAUGGCGCGCUUAUUCUUAGCGUCCGUUUCCAUAGUGACUCGUCGAUUCGUCGCUCUGUUGAGAAUGUCUCGAGUCUUAACCAGGAACAUACUCUGAGUUGAAUGAACUUACUCCCGGACGCGUUUUUGGAACCACAUACCUCGAGUAAGCAAUGUUUGGGGUUAAUCAACCGAAAGUUCAGGGUUUAUCUGACGGUAAGUUAACCAUGCUUUCUGGAAUACACCCCUGGAUGAGGGAACUGAUGGAAACAUCAGCUGCAGCGUGAAGAACCACGUCAGCCACGCACAGAAGACCAUUAGACUCGAACCCUGUCCUGCUGAUUGACUCUAGUGUGACCUCUAGUGUGACCUCUGCAGUGACCAGCAGCACACAGACAUCAGAAUGUGUGUCUGUGGUGUUUGUGCUGGUCUGGUGUUUCCAGCUGAUGGUUCUGUUGGGUCUGUUAGGAGCUUUUCACAUCUACAUGAGACACACGUCAGGAGAGAAACAGGAAGAUCAGAAAGUGAGGAUGAGAAGAUUUAGAGAAGGACAUGAACACACAGCAGAAGAUUCAUGAGAGCAGCAGCAGAUCAUCACAUUAUAAUAUAAAACCAAGAGAUUAAUUAAAACCAAAAGAUAUGAAUAACAUUUUCUACAGUUUUAGUUAGGAAGAUUAUUUUCUGGACAUUUGUGUGUUUGUUUGUUUGUUUGUUUGUUUGUUUUUUGCUUAUUUUAUUUAUUUGUCUGUAAACUAGGACUAUUUUUAUUUAUUUCAUUACUGUUCAUCCAGACUCUUUCUGAUUUCUCUGAAUCAGAUCUGUCAGAUUGUGAAGUCAUACUGUGUGUUCAUUUCAUAUUUCUGCUCUUUUACUUUAUUCUGUUGUUUUGGUUGAUUUCUCUUUAUGUACAGCAUCUGUUUAGAUGUUGUGUCUGUUUGAAGCUCUUGAUCUGUUUCUCAGUUUUGUAGUGUCUUUUGUUUUGCUAUCUGUGGUUGUGCUUGAAUCUGCAGUUUUUUUACAUUACUUUUAACAUGUUUA